rnacentral:tRNA from 1 species
UGGGAUGUCGUUCAAUGGUAGGACAACGGUCUCUGGCUCCGUUUAUAGGGGUUCGAAUCCUCUCAUCCCAGCCA